rnacentral:tRNA from 1 species
AAGAUUUUAAGUUAAAAACUAGUGACCUUCAAAGUCUCCUUUAAAAGCCGCCCCUUUUAAAUCUUA